CUCCAGGUGGCUCAGACGGUAAAGCGUCUGCCUACAAUGCAGGAGAGCUGGGUUCAAUCCCUGGUUGGGAAG
rnacentral:tRNA from 1 species